rnacentral:rRNA from 1 species
UACGGAGGGUGCAAGCGUUAAUCGGAAUUACUGGGCGUAAAGCGCACGUAGGUGGUUUGCUAAGUCAGCUGUGAAAUCCCCGGGCUCAACCUGGGCACUGCAGUUGAAACUGGCAAGCUAGAGUAAGGUAGAGGGGUGUGGAAUUCCAGGUGUAGCGGUGAAAUGCGUAGAUAUCUGGAGGAACAUCAGUGGCGAAGGCGACACCCUGGACUCAUACUGACACUGAGGUGCGAAAGCGUGGGGAGCAAACAGG